rnacentral:rRNA from 1 species
ACGGAGGGUGCAAGCGUUAUCCGGAAUCACUGGGUUUAAAGGGUGCGUAGGCGGCUUAAUAAGUCAGAGGUGAAAUCUUCCCGCUUAACGGGAAACCUGCCUUUGAUACUGUUGAGCUUGAAUUAGGUUGAGGUCGGCGGAAUGUGGCAUGUAGCGGUGAAAUGCAUAGAUAUGCCAUAGAACACCAAUUGCGAAGGCAGCUGACUAGGCCUUAAUUGACGCUGAGGCACGAAAGCGUGGGGAGCGAACAGG